rnacentral:rRNA from 1 species
UACGUAGGUGGCAAGCGUUGUCCGGAUUUAUUGGGCGUAAAGAGCGUGUAGGCGGCCAGGUAGGUCUGCUGUGAAAACUCGAGGCUCAACCUCGAGACGUCGGCGGAAACCAUCUGGCUAGAGUCCGGAAGAGGAGAGUGGAAUUCCUGGUGUAGCGGUGAAAUGCGCAGAUAUCAGGAAGAACACCUAUGGCGAAGGCAGCUCUCUGGGACGGUACUGACGCUGAGACGCGAAAGCGUGGGGAGCGAACAGG